CUAUUAUUUAGAAUGUUAAGGUUUGUGCCUGAGUAGUAUUAGUUAUGUUCUUGAAACUUAAAGAAUUUGGCGGUAUCUCAUUCCGUCCAGAGGAAUCUGUCCCGUUAUCGAUAGUCCACGUUGGACCUUACUUAUUUGAUUUUGGUUUGUAUACCGCCGUUUAUUGUUUAUCUUUUUAGAGGUUUUAAAUUUUCUGGUUUCUUUAUUUUGAUGUAUUUCAGGUCAAGGUGCAGCUUGUUUUUAAGUGGAGUGAUGGAUUACAUUGUUAUUUGUUUAUGGAUUAUUGGUUUUAAUAUUGAUAUGAAAUUGGAUUUGGUUGUAAUAAUUUGUAGAUUGUUAUUAUGAUAAUUGGUUCUGGGAUAUGCACACAUCGCCCGUCGCUCUCGUUUGUUUAUUAUAAUGAGAU
rnacentral:rRNA from 1 species